UACGUAGGUGGCAAGCGUUAUCCGGAAUUAUUGGGCGUAAAGAGCGCGCAGGUGGUUAAUUAAGUCUGAUGUGAAAGCCCACGGCUUAACCGUGGAGGGUCAUUGGAAACUGGUUGACUUGAGUGCAGAAGAGGGAAGUGGAAUUCCAUGUGUAGCGGUGAAAUGCGUAGAGAUAUGGAGGAACACCAGUGGCGAAGGCGGCUUCCUGGUCUACAACUGACACUGAGGCGCGAAAGCGUGGGAGCAAACAGG
rnacentral:rRNA from 1 species